GCUCAUAGUUCUGCAGACUUUACAGGAAGCGUGGUGCUGACAUAUACUUGGUUUCCUUUUGACAUCCUGGGGAGGCUUCAGGAAGCUUCCAAUCAUAGUGGAAAGCAAAGGGGGAGCAGUCCUGUCACUUGGUGAAAGCAGGAACAAGAAAGAGAGAGUGGGUGUAAGCGAGCAGGCGUCACACACUUUUAAACAACCAGAUUUCAUGAGAACUUACUAUCAUGAGGACAGCACAAUGUGGAUGGUGCUGAACCAUUCAUGAGAAAACUUUAGUCAUAAUCCCAUCACCUCCCAACAGGCCCCCCUUCCAAUACUGAGGAUCACAAUUUCACCUGAUAUUUGUGUGGCGACAAAUAUUGAAACUAUAUCAAUGUGUCAAGCCCUCAGUCAAGGAUAUAGUCUCUCUUUGUACUAUCUUCCUAUUUAACAUCUACUUAGCAGCUCUGGUGGAAAAAUUUGCUGACUACUAGACUAGGUUGUAUUUCUAUACCGCUGGCACUUUUUUUUAAUCAAAAUAUCCAUUCUAUUUUAUUGUUGUUUUCAAUGUUAGAUACUGAACUCCUAGAGAUCAGGUGCUAGGCUGAAUCCUCAUUGCUAGGACCAUAGAGGUACUCAUAAAUAUUAGGUGCAUGAUUACAUCAUGAUGGGCAUUCAGAAAGAAGUGAAAGUCCCAUUUCCUAAACUCUUUUAAUCUGUUUAUAUGCAAAUAUUUCAUUAUGUUAUUCUCCUCAGAACUCUCUUAAGUUCCUUAUUUCCUUCAGGACAUUUUAACACUCAGGGUUACUUAGCUUUCUGAGGCUUUAUUGUCAGCAGCAGUAACCAGCUCUGGGUAGCUUAGACAGGAAAGAAACUAUUAAAGGAGGAUUGGGUAACUCCCACACAAAAUGGAUGGGAGUGUAGAGAAUCAGGUUUGAAGGCAAGUGGGAAGUCAGGGAGUUUUGAAAGCAUGAGUAGUCUGAUGCAGAUGCCACAGCUGCUGUUGAAUUUUUCUUGAAAGACUACUGCUGUGACUGCUCAUUUAAUCUCACCCACACUUUGUUUCCCAGGAUUCACUGGUUUAGGUGGGAGUGACUGAUUGCUGAGUCUAGCUCUUGUACCUUUACACUGGCUACCCUGGGUUUAUGGAGAGGAAGAACCCCUCUCUCCCUUUGGUCUGAAAUGGGAGGUGGAGCCUUGCAUCCUUCCAAAACUCACAAUGGACAGUUCCACAAAACUUGGAAUUGUAAAUGCAAGGCAGCUUAACAACAAUAACAGCAAAAGAAGUUACAAUGAUCCAUCAGAGGUUUCUCUUCAGUCUUAUAAUCUGAAGCUCCUGAGUUUGUCUGUCUGAAAGGGCUGGUUGAAUCUUUUGCCAGAAUUACUAGGCUGGAUGAUCUGGGAAGAUUGCUAGAUGACAGUUUCCUAGUUUAAGGGAAAUAAAAACAAACUUUGCCAGGGUAAUUUUAUUUUUAAAAUGAGAUGAUGUGUAUUAAGUGCUUAUAAUGCCUGGCACUUAGUAUACAGUCAAUAAACAGUAGUCAGUGAAAUACAGUAUAUAAUUUUGGCUCCAGUUUACCUUCUUAGCUAUCUCAUUUCUCCUUCCAACAUGAAAACUCUCCAUAAAUCCAAAAUGUUUUUGCUAUUAUUCUUAAAUAUGCCCCGUGCUUUCCACCUUUUCUUCUCCAUAUGCCACCUCUUUUUCUUCCAUCUUUCUUUUAUGACUCUGUUCAAAUCUUUGCUGCUUCUCAGUAAGAAAGAAGUACUGGCCCAUCUUUUUAUUAUUGCUCUUUGCCAUCCAGUUUGGCACUUAGCAUUUUAUGGUAGUUUUCUUGGUAUUUGUAUGUUAUUUUUGAUAAAGUAGUCUGCUAGAGGGCAAACGGGGCUAUUUUUGGGGAAAAACAGUUUAGUAGAAGGAACGUAAGGCUUGGAGUUAGAAGUCUUUGGUUCCAGCCUAGCGCUAGCUAGGACUUUGGACAAGUUUCUGAAUGUGUUCUUUUUAUAUAAAAUGGAGAUAACAUUAUAUGAUUUUGGUGAGGGUCAGAUGAAAUAUGUGUGUGAAGGAAAAGGCUGUGUAAACUGUGUAACGUAUAAUUGCUUUUGUAUGGAUCUUGUACCUAAUGUCAUGCCUUACACAUAGGCUUAAUAUAUUAAUGAUAAUGCUUUUUUUAAACAGUCCUUUCAGAUUUUCAUGGCAUCAAAAGACAUGUAAUUUUUUUGUACAUUUAAAAAAAUUGUAAUCAGAUUGUGAUGAAAAUGUUAUAGCUAUCUUUGAUUUUGUUCAUGUGUAAUAUUCAGUGAUUACUCUUGGUUCCAAUAAAAUGUUGUAUUGUUUUAUUAUACUGUUGCGUAAUUUAUUAGAUUUCAAAUUCCAUCAGAUUAUUUUUGUUCAGUUAAAUAAAGAAUAUAUUUCUUUGCUGAAUCACAGCUGAUGAUUUCUCUUGAAGAUUUUGCCCUAGAAACUAAUUCUAAAGAGAGUGAUUUGAGAGGCUUGUGUUCAAAAGUGUACGAUAUGGGAACAGGUCCAGCUGGCAACUUUUUUUUUUAAUGUUUAGAUUAGUCUUAGAGGGAGAAAAUAUACAGAGAUUUUAAAAUACAGUUCGUUUUUCUGAAUGGUCUUUUCUUUCAUCUCUCCAACAUCAUAAAAGUUGGUAUUUUAGUGGGAAAUUAUUCAUGAAUAGGCCCCGGAUACAUAGCUGUGGCCCAACAGGUCUAGGGAAAGAUUACAUAGGCUUUGCCUCUCUUCAUUUAGGAGACUUGUGAUUUUAUUUUAUUUGUUUUUGUUAUAUGACUAGCUCUUGUUAGAUUUUGCAGUGAAAAUUUUCUCUAAACAAUUUCAUCGGUAAACAAAUAAGUUUUGAUGGAAAGUGUUUCCACAGGAGGCUAUAUUGGAAUUUGACAAAACCAAGUUUUGUUAAGCAAAUGUAUAAUUUUUAAAAAGCAACUAAAUGUUACACCUUACCAAGGAGGAUAUACAGUGUCUUAAUCAGCUGGGUGAUAACUUCCAUUGGGUGGGUUAAGCAACCAACAUUUAUUUCUUCUAGUUCUGAAGCUGGGAAGUCCAAAGUGAAGAUACUGGUAUAUUCAGCUUCUAAUGAGGGCUCUUUACAGGUUUGUAGAUGGCUGCCUUCUUCCUUUGUCCUCAGAUGAUAGAGAUUGAGAGAGCUGUGGUCUUUUUUCCUCUUCUUGCAAGCACACCAAUCCCAUCAUAGGGACUCCACCAUCAUGACCUCACCUAAAUCUGAUUACCUCCCAAAGGCUCCUUUUCUAAAUACCAUUAUACUGGGGGUUAGAGCUUCAACAUAGGACAUUUGAGGGGUGACAAACAUUCAGUUAAUAACAUUCAGGUGGCAAGUAAGCAUAUAAAAAUGCUCAACAUCAUCUAUCAAUAGAGAAUUGCAAGUUGCAACAACAAUGACACGUUACCACAUACUAGUGGAAUGGUGGAAAUGCGAAACUGACACUACCAAAUGCUGUGGAGCAACAGGAAUUAUGAUGGAAUGCAAAAUGGUACAUCUCCUUUGGAAGUCAAUUCGGCAGUUUCUUACAAAAGUAAACAUACUCUUACUAUAUGACCCAGCAAUUGCACACCUUGUGUUUACCUAAGUGGGCUGAAAACUUAAGUCCACACAAAACCUGCACAUGGAUGUUUAAAAGCUUUAUUCAUAAUUUUGAUAACUUGGAAGCAACCAAAAUGUCCUUUAGUAGAUGUACAAAUCAAUAAACUGUGGCACAUCUAGACAAUGGGUAUUAUUUAUUGCUAAAAAUAAAUGAACUAUAAACCCAUGAAAAGAUUAUGAUUUCAUAUAUAACAUUCUGGAAAAGACAAAACUAUGGAGACAGUAAAAAGAUCAGUCCUUUCCAGGGGUUAGCAGGGAGAGGGACAAAUAGACAGAGUACAAGGUUUUUUUUUUUUUUUUUUUUUAGGACAGAGACUAUUCUGUAUGAGAACAUAAUGGUGGAUACUCAUUAUACAUUGUGAAAAUCCAUAGAAUAUACACCAAGUGUGAACCAUAAUGUGAACUGUGGGCUUUGGAUGAUGGUGAUGUGUCAAUGUAGGUUCGUCAGUUGUAGCAAUGUACCACUGUGGUGUGAGAUGUUGAUAAUGGGGGAAGUUAUAUGUGUGUCAGAGGCCGAGGGUAUAUAGGAACUCUUACUGGGUUCAAUUUUGCUGAGAACCUUAAACUAGAAAAAGUAGUCUAUUAAAAAUGUUUAUAGCGGUGGGGAGAAAAAGCCUUUCAAUUUAGCCAUCAGGCCAGAUCUUCUGACAUCAACCAGUAUACUGCAAUUCAAUUCUGGCACCAACCACCCUGAAUUAGUGUCAGAUUCCACAGUUUGAAGGGCAUGGUCCUCAGCAAGACCAUCCUCCACGUCAGACACCAGCUGCGAGUCAAGUUCCCAGGCCACCCCAUACUACUUGUCAACUGGCUCCAAAUCCAGGGGGUUCCCAGACCCUUCUCACUACCUCUCCAUAAGAUUUCCCUCACAUCAGAUGCCAUUUGCAAGCUCAGGGAUCUCCAGGUCACCCAUAUUUCUGACCAACUGACUAUAUAUUCAGAGGGGUUCCUAGAAGACACAUAUAGCAAGGUCUAGAGCGUCCUGAAUGCAGAGCUUUUAGCCCUCUCCCUGUAUACUUAGAGCACAUAGCCCUCCCAGCACAUCAGUGGAUUCACCAACCAGAAAGCUCUCCUUUACUUCAGUGUCUAGCGUUUCUUUUGGGACUUCAUGAUGUAGGCUUUAUUGAUUGAACAUUGACUAAUUGAUUGAAAUAAAUUUUUAGCCCCACUUUCCUCCUAAGAGGUUGGGUUGGGCCAAAGGCCCCUAAUCAAACAAUUAGUCUUUCUGGUGACUAGCUGCUAUUUUGAGCCGUCUUGUUAACAGAAACCCUGGUGUGAAUCAAGGCGCUUAUGAAUAACAAAGAUCCUUUUAUCACCUGGGAAAUUCCAAGCAUGAAGCUGCUUGCCAGGAACCCAAGACAGACAAAUUCAAGACCAGGUGCUGGAAAAAUAGUAGCUCUUGAUAACCUAAUUUUUUUCAAAAGUGUAUCAUGGAAAGCUGAGGUGGCUGAGAAGUAUUUAAGAUUGAAAGAUUUAAGAGGAAAAGCUGAUUUACCGAUCUCUAUUAAUGUAGUAUUUUAAUAGUUUAGCUGUUUUAGCUAUUAAUAUUUAUCAUGCAGUUUUGAAUUUUAUAUGUAUAAAUAUAUUUCUUUGAUAAAAAGAAGCGAAGACUACUUGGAAAGAUCAGCCAGUAGAACAACAGAGGACCCUUUCCAGUUUUUACUGACUCACACUAUUAAAACAGAUGACCU